rnacentral:rRNA from 1 species
UACGUAGGGGGCGAGCGUUGUCCGGAAUCAUUGGGCGUAAAGCGCGUGUAGGCGGUUCGGUAAGUCUGCUGUGAAAGUCCAGGGCUCAACCCUGGGAUGCCGGUGGAUACUGCUGAACUAGAGUGCGGAAGAGGCGAGUGGAAUUCCCGGUGUAGCGGUGAAAUGCGCAGAUAUCGGGAGGAGCACCAAUUGCGAAGGCAGCUCGCUGGGACGUUACUGACGCUGAGACGCGAAAGCGUGGGGAGCAAACAGG